CAUCCGCAGGCUGGCCGCCCCCCAGGCUGGGCUGGGCAAGUGUCUCUUCGAAAGGCUCACCCUCAAGCACGACCAGGAGC
rnacentral:pre_miRNA from 1 species